rnacentral:rRNA from 1 species
CUACGGGAGGCUGCAGUGGGGAAUAUUGCACAAUGGGCGCAAGCCUGAUGCAGCCAUGCCGCGUGUGUGAAGAAGGCCUUCGGGUUGUAAAGCACUUUCAGCGGGGAGGAAGGCGGUGAGGUUAAUAACCUCAUCGAUUGACGUUACCCGCAGAACAAGCACCGGCUAACUCCGUGCCAGCAGCCGCGGUAAUACGGAGGGUGCAAGCGUUAAUCGGAAUUACUGGGCGUAAAGCGCACGCAGGCGGUCUGUCAAGUCGGAUGUGAAAUCCCCGGGCUCAACCUGGGAACUGCAUUCGAAACUGGCAGGCUAGAGUCUUGUAGAGGGGGGUAGAAUUCCAGGUGUAGCGGUGAAAUGCGUAGAGAUCUGGAGGAAUACCGGUGGCGAAGGCGGCCCCCUGGACAAAGACUGACGCUCAGGUGCGAAAGCGUGGGGAGCAAACAGGAUUAGAUACCCGUGUAGUC